AAGGCAUUUCAAUCCAAGGUGAUAAGAGCAAUCGCGACCGCAGAGUUCUCACCUUAAUGCAGGGGAAACCUCUUGUAGAUGAGAAUGGAGGGAUGACCAUACCGUAGAAUACAGUAAAAGCUUUUGAAGGCACCUGAAGGAAAGAGUUCUGAUACACCACUUACAUCUACAUUCAUACAGAUAAACUAAGAGCAAUAACUUCUCUCAUGCACGUGAUUGAAGGCAUGCAGGUUAAAGAACUAACUGCAUGUUACGCAACUAUUCUUCAUGGAUACUUAUGUUUCUUUCGCGAGCCUACAGGCAAUAAUAAAAACUGUGAAAUCAGAGUUAGAGAAUACAAUCACUCAGUAUAAAGAUGCCCAUCAAAACUAACAUUACCAACACAUUCGCUGUGUAUACAUAAAAGUAUAUUAGGGUAAAGUUUUUAAUUAAAAAAAAUGUGAAGCUAGUA